CUUGAGGCUAGAGUCACAUCCUGACACCUUAUUGUCUUGGUGUGCUAGAGCUCUCAUAGAGCAAACACUGGUCUUUAUUCACUGGCUGAAUUGUGUAGUUCAGUCAGCCGCCUGCUCAGUGACAGCC